CCUAACAACACACAACAUUCCAGGAAUGUACUACCAAAGUUCUAUCAAUAUUUGAAUGUCCUGGACAUUUAGGGAACAUUCGGUGAACAUCUGAUUAAAUUAUUCGUGGAAUGUUACCAUAAGACAUUCUGUGAACAUACUACCAAUGUUCCUGUUCAUUUUCAAAUUCACGGCGCAUGUAUUUGUGCAUGGUGCUUAGAGAGGGCAUCACGUGACUAAAAACGACCAAUGACCUCACUUCAGACUUCGGUUCGGCCAUCUUGACAUGCAUCUUGCCUUGGCCACCUUGCCGUGCGUGAUCGUUGUUUGUUUUUAUUUGUGCUUUUUAAGAAUAUUUUUUAAUUCGGAUACUUUUAUAAUAACUUUAAUAGUAUUAUUAAUAUAGUGCAUAAAAUCAGUUGGAGUAGCAGAAGCAAUGUAGAUAAAAAAUCUGCAGGAAUAAUGUUUCAAAGGUUAGUAUAUUAUGCAAAUAUGUAAACAAAGGCAUGCCCCUAUUUCAGAAAAUAUCCAUUUAUUAUUUUAAUAAUUGCGAAUAAGCCACAAACUUGCUUAUUCCUAAUUAAAAUAGUAAAUAGAGAUAAUAACAAACGGAUUAUUUGUAAAAUUAAAUUUUUUUUUGCGUUUUUGCUAAUGUAUGCGUUUAUAAACAGGAUGGUAGACCACACACUAUAAUAGUACCAACUAAUGAAUACACAGUAUGAAUAGUACAGUCGGUUCGCUAAACUUAGUCUCAGACACAACUGGCUAGUGAUUUUAGUAAAUAAUUUUGACAAUUUGGUAAAAUUGGCAAAAAAAUAACUAAAUAGUUAGUAAUUUUGGCAAAAAUGGCCAAAAACAAAAAAAUUACCUACUAAAAUCACUAGCCAGUUGUGGCUAGGGAAACGACUAUACUAAUAAACAAUUUCUAAGCUGCUUUUUAUAAUAUUUUCUUUCCAGAAGAUCCUGCGAAGAAGGCAUGAAGUAUUGAUCAGAUUUGUUAAUAGAGCAGUAUGUUCAAAACAUUUUUUAGAAAAAGAUAUUGACAGAACUUCACUUUCAACCGUUUGAGAGACUGUGCUGUUCCAAUAGCUUAUAUCACACAGAAUCAGCUGAGAGAAGUGGUCUACAAAAAACCAGGAAGGAAAUGGAAUAUGUGGCUAUGAAAGGCAAAAGAAAGGUUUACAAAGCAAAUGUGACACAUUUUUUUAUAGGAAUAUCAGUAAAUUACAUUAAAAAAAUGUAUGAAAAGAUUUUUUGCAAUAAAAAUGUUUAUAUUUAUCAA